CCUACGGGAGGCAGCAGUGGGGAAUAUUGGACAAUGGGCGAAAGCCUGAUCCAGCCAUGCCGCGUGUGUGAAGAAGGCCUUCGGGUUGUAAAGCACUUUCAGUGGGGAAGAAAGCCUUGGGGCUAAUACCCUCGAGGAAGGACAUCACCCACAGAAGAAGCACCGGCUAACUCCGUGCCAGCAGCCGCGGCAAUACGGAGGGUGCGAGCGUUAAUCGGAAUUACUGGGCGUAAAGCGCGCGUAGGCGGUCUGAUAAGCCGGUUGUGAAAGCCCCGGGCUCAACCUGGGAACGGCAUCCGGAACUGUCAGGCUAGAGUGCAGGAGAGGAAGGUAGAAUUCCCGGUGUAGCGGUGAAAUGCGUAGAGAUCGGGAGGAAUACCAGUGGCGAAGGCGGCCUUCUGGACUGACACUGACGCUGAGGUGCGAAAGCGUGGGUAGCAAACAGGAUUAGAUACCCCUGUAGUC
rnacentral:rRNA from 1 species